AGAAAAUCCUUCAUGUGGGAUUAAAAGUGUUAUGAUUGAGGAGACACCUGAGCAGGAUAUGGAGGGAAAUUUUUGGCUGCAGAAACUUGGAAUGAGUAUAAACAAGUGGUCACAGCUGAAUUCCCUGACUGAACUGCAUGAAAACAGAGCUCUAGAAAAAGAUCAUCCAAACACAUCUGGAGUUUGUUCUGAUCUUGAACACAAAGUUACUGAGCUGGAAGAGUAUAAAACCAAAGAAG